UGGGGAAUUUUGGACAAUGGGCGAAAGCCUGAUCCAGCAAUGCCGCGUGUGUGAAGAAGGCCUUCGGGUUGUAAAGCACUUUUGUCCGGAAAGAAAUCCUUGGCUCUAAUACAGUCGGGGGAUGACGGUACCGGAAGAAUAAGCACCGGCUAACUACGUGCCAGCAGCCGCGGUAAUACGUAGGGUGCAAGCGUUAAUCGGAAUUACUGGGCGUAAAGCGUGCGCAGGCGGUUUGCUAAGACCGAUGUGAAAUCCCCGGGCUCAACCUGGGAACUGCAUUGGUGACUGGCAGGCUAGAGUAUGGCAGAGGGGGGUAGAAUUCCACGUGUAGCAGUGAAAUGCGUAGAGAUGUGGAGGAAUACCGAUGGCGAAGGCAGCCCCCUGGGCCAAUACUGACGCUCAUGCACGAAAGCGUGGGGAGCAAACAGGAUUAGAUACCCUGGUAGUCCACGCCCUAAACGAUGUCAACUAGUUGUUGGGAUUCAUUUCCUUAGUAACGUAGCUAACGCGUGAAGUUGACCGCCUGGGGAGUACGGUCGCAAGAUU
rnacentral:rRNA from 1 species